GGAAACAGCCUCUCUACCCAAGGAUAGGGGUAAGGUUUGCGUACACACUACCCUCCCCAGACCCCACUAAGUGGGAUUAUACUGGGUUGUUGAUGAUGAUAAGGUACACCUAAGCGAGCCUACCGAAUAAACAUAGUAACAUACACUACAUUCAGUACAAAGUCGAUUCUUACACGCAACUUAGUAGAUGUAGAGAAACUAGAGAUCAAGCUAAAAUGGGAGGAGAAACAAAAACGAAUUACAUACUGAGAAAGACAAGUAGCCUUCAUUAGUAGAAAUCAAAAUUUUAAUAAUAGGUGUCAUCCCCACUUACUUUUGGAACAGGGGUGGGUUUCUAGGAAAUUGCCUAUAACUCUUCGCAAAUGUGGAAUUACACCAAAACAAAAAAGAAAAUGAAACAAACCAAGUUAAUAACCCAUACAAAGCGGAGAAUAAGAACCAAUACCACUUUUGAUAUCUCAUAAUUCUGCUAGUCUACAUCAACAAACUGGCAGUUGGCUACAUCAACAAAGAGGUAUGCUAGUACAAACUUUUGGAUGCAUAUGAAAUUAUUCGAGCUUAUGAGCAAAGCUUAGCUUACAGGAAAAAGAUUUCCAAUCCCCUGUGCCGCUAUUUUGCUCUUACAUAUAUGAUCCUACUAUAUAAGGAAAACAAUUAAUAUCAUAUUGAAGUCAUGAUGAUUGUACACCUUCAAAAUUAUGUCUCUCCAACCUCAACCUCCGCAUUUUGGGCAUUAUGAAAAGAGCGAAGAGAACCGAUUAACUUUCAUUUGUCGAUUGUUUAUUAUCAGACCAUGAUCCCAACAGCAGAGAAGCUCCAUGAAUUUGGCAACUUUCUAGAGUAGAAAAACGCAGAAGCUAAGGUAUAAUGAAGAUCUAUUAAGCAAAUGCAAGUAAAAACAAACAGCAUUCCCUCAAAUCCAAAGUGUAGGUGAUACAAUGGAGCAUGAUUUGAUGUGUAUACACAAAAUUAUAGUAUAAAGUAUAAACUGUCAAAUAUUGAUCAGAGAUAUGGUAUAAGCCAUAAAAGCACUUACCACAGUAUCUACUCUUUGAUCUUCAAAAAAGGUUUGUGACAUCGACAUGUCAAGCUUUUUCCUCUCGCAUCGCAUGGCCAAAGACCAUGGAUAAACAAUUGUUCCGGAAUACUAGAUUUGCAAGGAGUUUUGUUUGAUAGAAAUUGCAUCUCACAGAAUGUGGGUGGCCAUUGUAGCGCGUACUCCAUAAAAUCAUAUUGACAACUAGUUCUUGGGAUAAUAGCCAUCAAAAUUAAUACAAGUAGUAGCAAGUAGCUCUCCAUAUUAACUUGCUAGCAAUAUUAUUACAGUACCUACUCCAUGAAUGCAAGGAUGAGUGACAUAUGGGAAUUCACCUCUUCUUAUAGGGAUAUGAACAUAAUGCAAGCAAGCGAUUCACAACAUUCUCGUGAUGAAGACAAUGUUCAAAGCAUUAAGGCUUUUGAUGAGUCAAUAAAGCUUAAAGCUUUUUAAUGAUUUGUUAAGUCUGGCAGGAUAUGACCAGAUAGUGUGUCUUGAGGAUUACAUGUUUAGGAAUCACCUAUGUGAGUGUAAACUCCGUAGUCCAAUCUUAAUUUCAAACCAGAUAGUGUGUCUUGAGGAUUACACGUUUAGGGAUCACCUAUGUGAGUGUAAACUCGGAAGUCCAAUCUUAAUUUCAAACUUAUCGGAACUUUUAUUGCAUAGAGAUAUGAUAUGCAGUUUGCAACCAAUGCUUGCACAACUUAACAGUUCCAGUAUCACUUCUUAUUUAGGUUUUUUUCUUUAGGUAUAACUGUCAAUUUUGCAAGCAACUUGUAGGAUAAAGACAACCAUGUUCAGUGCCAGUACCAAAAUACUAAAUGCAUUAUCACAUAAUUUUGUUAUAAGGAUACAUACAAGAGAGGUUGCUCUGAUAGUAAGCAACCCCCACUUUCAACCGAGAGGUUGUGAGUUCGAGUCUCCCCAAGAGCAAGGUGAGUACCAAAAUACUGAAUGCAUUAUCACAUAAUUAUGUUAUAAGGAUGCAGACAAGAGGGGUUGCUCUGAUGGUAAGUGUUAGAAUAUGUAAUAGUAGAACCCUAAUCAAAUGUGUACUAGGAGUAGCCUAAUCCAAUGUUUAUUAGGAGUAGAAUAGGUUAUGUGUAUAUAUAUAGGGCUCAUUGUAUCAUGUAUAACAUCAAUUAUUAUAUUUCUCCCGUGCUUUCUCACAACUGCUAGAGACCAGAAAAGGACCAAACCAGAGGAUAACAACUUCAUUACUGCUAGAGACCAGAAAAGGACCAAACCAGAGGAGCUCUACGGUCAAUUAGGAAACACUGAACAAAAAUUUUAACUCCACACUGGGUUUUGCAUGAAAUCACCGUGCAGUUUUCCGGUGAUCUAAGUGACUAAUUGCAUCAAAGUCACUAAUUAUCAGUGUUGUGCAAAAAUCAACACCACCACAAGGUUCCAAGAGAGAUCCGACCAAACCCCAGCAAAACCCACCGGAAAACUGCCCUUCACGCGCCCUCAGGCGCCAGAUUUAUCAAGGUAGAUCUGACUCACGCGCCGGCACGUGAGCAUUGUUCCGGUGAGAUUUUGACGAAGGUCCUUCAGGGAAGUUGGACGCCCUCAACUUCCGAGCCUACCCAUAUUUUUACUUUUCAAUUCCGACCACUUUAAAGUUUUUCCGGCAUCUACAAUGAUUUUUUCCGGCAUCUAUAGUAAUUUUCUGGCAAAAACAGUAUUUCCUUCAUCUGUUUCAGCAAGUUUUCAACGCGAUCUACAGGAAUUUUCCGGCAAAAACAGUAUUUCCUUCAUCUGUUUCAACAAGUUUUCAACUAUGUCUUUGGGACUCUAUGCUUUCGGGUCUAGAAACCCGGGUUUGAUGUUAACUACAUAUGUAACAAGCUCGGUACAUAUGAUUUAUAUGCACCAGCUUGAGGGGAAGUGUUAGAAUANNNNNNNNNNNNNNNNNNNNNNNNNNNNNNNNNNNNNNNNNNNNNNNNNNNNNNNNNNNNNNNNNNNNNNNNNNNNNNUUAGGAGUAGGAUAGGUUAUGUGUAUAUAUAUAAGGCUCAUUGUAUCAUGUUUAAUAUCAGUUAUAUUUUUCUCCCGUGCUUUCUCACAGUAAGCAACCUCCACUUCCAACCGAGAGGUUGUGAGUUGGAGUCUCCCCAAGAGUAAGGUGGGAAGUUCUUGGAGGGAAGGAUGUCAGGGGUCAAUUACAACAAUAGCAUUAACAAUUGAUUAAAAAGGCAUCUAAGUCUAACAUGCCUUUACUAAAUCAUGUAUUAAAUGCAUUAAUAAUGGAUUGAGAGUCUUUUAAGGUGAAAUGUAUAUAUUUUUGUAAAAAUUAGUGCAGUAUAUUUAAAAAGCUUUUCGAGUAAUUCUCCUUUUUCGUUCUUUACCAAUUUAGUCCCAGAAAUUUCACAUGCUGCGGUAUGCAUGCAUGUGAAAGGUCGAUCUUUCCAACAACUUUUCUCGUAAUUCAUCAUAUUAAUUUGAACAUCUUAAUUUAUGUAAUAAUUCUCAAACAAACUUAAUUUUAAGGUUUAGUUUAGGGGUUUUUUCAUACUUGUUAGAAACUUUAUUAUCAAAAAUAUUCAUAUUUACAUAAUUACCCGACCUACCCAUGUUUAGUUUACAAAAAUAUAUACAUUUCACCUUACAAGUCUCUCAAUCCAUUAUUAAUGCAUUUAACAACGGAUUUAGUAAAGGCGACUUAGAUGCUUUUUUAAUCAAGUGUUAAUGCUAUCGUUGUAAUUGACCCCUGAGGAUUUAGUAAAGGCAUGUUAGACUUAGAUGCCUUUGGUAGGGUGUAUAUUUAAAAAGCUUUUCGAGUAAUGCUCCUUUUUCGUUCUUUACCAAUUUAGUCCCAGAAAUUUCACAUGCUGCGGUAUGCAUGCAUGUGAAAGGUCGAUCUUUCCAACAACUUUUCUCGUAAUUCAUCAUAUUAAUUUGAACAUCUUAAUUUAUGUAAUAAUUCUCAAACAAACUUAAUUUUAAGGUUUAGUUUAGGGGUUUUUUCAUACUUGUUAGAAACUUUAUUAUCAAAAAUAUUCAUAUUUACAUAAUUACCCGACCUACCCAUGUUUAGUUUACAAAAAUAUAUACAUUUCACCUUACAAGUCUCUCAAUCCAUUAUUAAUGCAUUUAACAACGGAUUUAGUAAAGGCGACUUAGAUGCUUUUUUAAUCAAGUGUUAAUGCUAUCGUUGUAAUUGACCCCUGACAUCCUUCCCUCCAAGAACUUCCCACCUUACUCUUGGGGAGACUCCAACUCACACCCUCUCGGUUGGAAGUGGAGGUUGCUUACUGUGAGAAAGC
rnacentral:lncRNA from 1 species